CUCAAGUCUGCAUAGAAAGCGCAUUUAAUCCUUUUUUAACUGGGUGAGGUUGCCUCUUGGGACCCCCAGUUGAUAGAUGAGAAGCACCUGACUUUGAAAAGGAACCGAACUCAAGCAGGCUGCAUCCUAAGCCCGAAGUUACAGGGGUUAACCUUGAGACAGAUCAAACCUGGAGACCCAGCUGCAAAAUUUCAAAUAUCACCUUAAAGCCGUUCGUCCACAACCUGGUCAUUGUUGUGGUUAUGCCAGUCCACGCUCCAGGAGGACUGUGACCCGAGAUAGCCACUGAAAAAAGAGACACAGAUGUCACACCCCCAUCACUCGCUUACCAUUACAAUGUGAAAUGCCUCCCAUAUCAAGCUUUCCUUCUUAAACCCCUGCCCUCAGCCAACCUUCAAAGCAGUUUCUCUAGGUGUAAACCUGGCCACUUCCCCCUGUGGCUAUGGAAAUAAAGUGGCUUUCCAUUCACUGCACUUGCUGAGUUUGCACACGGUAAGCAGCCCAGCCUGCACUGGGUCACAACUUCUCAAUUGCCUCCUUCUGCGAGAGAGAGUGAGGUGCUCGGCCUCCACAAAAGGCCUCAGAGUAAACAGCAUCAAAUCUCCCCCUUGGGCAGCCUUCCCCUAUUCUCAACCUCUUCAGCACCCUGCCUGCACGGAUCACAAUGGUUCUCACUACAGAUGGAGCAUCCCACUCACUGAGGAAGUACCUGCUCAGGAGGGUGUGAUGACUGGGGACAUGAAACCGGAAGCCAAGGAACACCCACCACACCCCUCCCCAUGCUCCGUGCAGGAUGUCCUGUGUUCACGCCAGGGCAGGCACAAGGAAAGUCAGCACGGCCCCAUGUUCCCAGCAGCUCAGUCUCACCUGUGAGUGGCAGGAGUGCGAGGUGUGAGUUGGAUGAGGGCUUUGGACCCCAGCGCUAAGGUGGGCUACGUGGAGCUCCCAGGAUGCUGGGGUCACAGGCCCCAGUGAGCCUGCUGAAAUUGUAGCAGAGACUGUAAUAUUUUAUCUAGACUACAAGACAUAAAUUUGCUGUGUGUUCUUGCACUACCAACUUUAAUAAUAAUGUCUUUGCAUGCCAUCUAUUCUCUCAUGGGCAAUAACACAGAUACAAACGGUCCUGAGUGCUCAGCGCUGCUGGGUUUUGGGGUCUGCUUUAGGGGAAACAUUUCCAAAACCUGCCAUCCGGUGCGUUUGCUCUUCUGAAAAACGUCCCCAGAACCAGCGGCCGCCUGGCCUCUGGGGCGCCCCGCAGGUCGUGUGAAUACACAUGUGGAGUGACUGAAACGGAUGCUUAUGGCUACUUUCCCACCCUGGAGGAGACUCUGCCAUCUGGGUUUGGGCUAAAGUCGAGGUAGUGUGUGAAUCUGAUUUCCCCCUUUAUGUAAUGAGCUGUUUUCCUGAUCUGUGGACCUGUUAUGUCAUGGCUUUGAUGAACAAGAAUAAAAAAGGUAAGUGAGAAAACAAACAAAAUGAAUAUAUCUGUAGGAAUUCAGUGCUCUCGAAGAACUGCAACUCACUGCCUUCUCAAAUCUCAGAUACCACUAUUUAAAGAAGAUAGGAUGUGGUUAAAAAUAAGUAACGCAACGAUUUCUGAGUGUCCAUAUUGGGUAACUGUUGACUAUAAGCCUCAGGUAUUGCUUCUUUUGUGUGUGUCUCCAUUGUUGUGUUUAACCCAACUGACCAAUUUAGAAAAUGUAAUAUUCUUUUGAUAUUCCAAAAAUUUUUGAAAAUUAAUUCAAAAAUGAUUAGGUAUGAUUUUCACUAGAAGGCAAAUAACAUCAAAAAGGUAUUUUAAUGAGAAACGUCAUCAUUAGAUAUUCUUUUAGAUUUUUUCCUUUGGAAUUGCAGAUGUUUCUGAAAACAGCAAACUGGUAUCAUGAUUUCAGAGUGAAAAUGUGGGGACAGAGGUGGGCGGGAGGAAACAGCCUUGGUAGGAAGUGGACACAGGCCUAGAGCUGGAGCUGGGGAGCCUGCAGGCUCUGGUGUGGGAUUUGUUUAGCAGUGCAGGGGCAGGUGCUUCUCACUGCCCCUCCCCUCACUCCACUCUCAGAGCCCCCACUGCAGAUCUUUGGUUGGUGCUCUUCAGAACCUGUCACACUUUCCCAGGAAGAAUUGGUCUCAUUUUCUUAACAGUUUGCACAGGUCUUCCAUGCCCUGUUGUGUUCCCCAGUGCGACAUUUCUCUCAUUGCAUGUAGUGAUCAGUUUAGGGUUUGUCGUCUGCUCUGUGUGGUGAGGCUGGAGGGCUCGAACUGUGUCUUGUCACUUUCUAUAUCUCUGGUGCUAAAUCUCAAGGAGACGUACAAUCUGUCUCUUUUUUAAAAUUAAUUGUUUGAUCCCCUUCGCCCAUAUGGCCCAAAGUGACCUAGUCCAUCAUGAAUUCCCCCAGGCCUCUGGUUCCUCCUUUUCCAUUUACCCAGGUGCUCACCCCACGCACUGUCCUGUCCAGGAACUCUGAUCUGCUCCACGUCCUUACUCAAGCCCUGUCACAGUGCCGUCUCUGACUCCCCUGAUGUCACCAGUUGUGGUUUCCCUCAUCUCCUCGGGUAUUUAGGGAUCACAGCAUUCACUUGUACAUUGCACUUGCCCCCCUGCCCUGCCCCCACCAACCGACUUCCUUCUCCAGGAACACAAAUCCUACAUAGUGAAUUGUAAAUUUUCAAGUAUUACUCUGAUCUGUCCUAUGUCGGGGAGCUGGCUGGCGCCAGGGGGAUGUGUGUCUGGCCCAGCUUUGGCACUGCUCCCUGUGAGUCUGGGUAAGUCCCCUCCCGACUCUGGGCCUUGGUUUAGCCCCUUGAAAAUGUUAGGUUGUUUGCUUGAUCACAUCCGUUCUCUAGAGUUCUGUGUAUCUGAAAAUCAAUGCAGCUGUGUAUAUUUUUCUUGAUAAGCCCCGAGCUUAUCCAUGGGGCUCUGAUCUUGAAUAGCGCUUCAGUACAAUAUUUGAUACAAAUUUGAGCAAAAUCCAGUGAGAUAUUUUUAAGCUAUGUAAGUGUGAUUUCUCCUCACUUCAACGAAGCAUUAUAAUUUACAUGACUAUGUGUACAUCUAAAGCGUCUGUCGUGGUUUUGACCUCUGUGACAUUGUAGUCUUUACCAGGUGGUCAAAGCCAUCCUCAGCUUAAUGAAAACCAACUAUGUGUUCCUAAAAUUAUGAAAGUUCAAAAUGAUAGUGGUCAUUUCAGUUGACAGAAAAAACCGUUUGUGUUCAAUUUUUUAGUCACCUCAGCAAAUACUCUCUCCAUUAUCACUGCCUUUCUCAAAGCAGAUCUUGAAGUGACAGAGCCUACUGUUUUGAAUAUAGUUGUCUGCCCUAAUUUUUAAAAAGUCUCUAGUUGCAAAAAUUACAUUGUUGUUAAGGUUGAGAAUGUAUGAACUCAAGGCAGUCUGCAACUGUGGUGCCAAAGCUCCUUACAUUGGUAUUCAAACAAUGUAACUUUGCUGUCAACAUGUAGGAUAGAUACUUUCCCUCCCUCCCUCUCUUUCUUUUUGCUCUUUGUUCAGUGGUGGUGUUAUGUGGAUAAGGGAACACAUUACUCCUUACACAUCGUCUUUAUACAACAUACAUUCAGGCUCAGAUUCAACGGCUAUCCACUGCUUGCUAACACCUUUUUGAGCAUAUGACAUCUAUCAGGUAGCUGCAUAGGGUUUAGGUCUAGUUAUUCAUGGAUUCUGCAUAGGAGCUCAGCCUCUGAUAAGAUCUGUGACAAUGCUCAUCACUUACCUGUCUCUUCAUAUUCCUGUCUUGAUAUUCCAUUUUUACUCUAUAAUUUUCUAUCUUCAUUUGGUUUUAUGUUAUUAAAUACUUCAUUGUAAACUGUUUCAACUCUUUUCUGGAACAGGGUGGCACAGAAACAAACCUCUAACUCUUCUCAUCCUUCUUUUUUUCUUGGGGGAGGGUGGUUAUUUCUGAAUUUUAUUUUUAUUUUAUUUUAUUUUAAGUUAUGGGAUACAUGUAUAAGAUGUGCAGGUUUGUUACACAGGUAAACGUGUGCCAUGGUGGUUUGCUGCACCUAUCAACCCAUCACUUAGGUAUUAAGCCCUGCAUCCAUUAGCUAUUUUUCCUGGUGCUCUCCCUCUCCCCGCUCCACCCCCACAACAGGUCCCAGUGUGUGUUGUUUCCAUCCCUGUGUCCAUGUGUUCUCAUUGUUCAGUUCACACUUGUAAGUGAGACUGCGUGGUGUUGGGUCUUCUGUUUCUGUGUUAGUUUGCUGAGGAUAAUGGCUUCCGCCUCCAUUCAUAUCCCUGCAAAGGACAUGAUCACAUUCCUUUUAUGGCUGCAUAGUAUUCCCUGGUGUAUAUGUACCACGUUUUCUUUAUCCAGUCUAUCAUUGAUGGGCAUUUGGGUUGAUUCCAUGUCUUUGCUAUUGUGAAUAGUGCUGCAAUGAACACACACGUGCAUGUAUCUUUAUAAUAGAAUGUUUUAUAUUCCUUUGAGUAUAGACACAGUAAUGGGACUGCUGGGUCAAAUGGUAUUUCUGGUUCUAGGUCUUUGAGGAAUCACCACACUGUCUUCCCCUAACCAAAUUUAAAACAGUUAACAAUUUAUAAAAUAAUGUAUUCCUCUUUUCAAAUUAUCCAAAUUCAAUGAAACAUUUCAUGUGGAAACUAAAAUUUGCUGGACAAAAAUUGUACCUCACAGUUAACAGUCUGUUUCACUAACAUUUGUGCAUAAAACCUAUAUAUCUGAAGGAAAAAAUGCCUAAAAGCAAAGAUAAUAUGAGGGUAGCCAUGGGGAAAACAGAAAUUGGCACCAAAAUCCUUGAAAAGUAUCCUAACCCAUGCUGUUUCACGUUUACACUUUACUCAAUUUACCUUUAUCAGAGGGGCCAGAAACAAUCAAUUCAACUUCAUUGACCCUAUAAUUUACAAAGGAAUAGCGUAUGUAUUGGCUUUGGGGUUUCUAAGAAAUAGUAAAAGGAUAAAUAGUGAAUUGGUCACCUAAUCGGGAAAGGUGGUUCCUUGGUAAGAUGAUAAUUUCAGGUGUGAAUGACCACAGUGUAUUCCUCUGCCCACUCCUUCAGCCUCAUAGCCUCAGGCAAGGUGGCCACUUCAAUAGAACCCUGCAAAGUCAGAGGGCCUGAGUUCAAGCCCUAACGCCUUUGUCUCUCUGAUUUACCCACUCUGACACAAGGCAGGCUUCUCACUUCUCAGAGUGUUUCCUCAUUAGGAGUCUGAUAAUAAUUCAGAUAUUACCUCCCAAGGGAAAAGAGGAAAUAAUAUAUACAACAAUGCUUUAUAUAGUAUACCUUGAUAUCCCUAAAUCAUUAUAUUUCUGGAUGCUUUUCCUGAAGCAAAUGUUUGGCUGGACUACCAAAGUCAGUAAUUUCAUAGGCUUUUCUCAAGUAUUUGUCGUAACUACUGUCGUCUCCAUUUUACCUAAAACAUUAAUUUUCCCAUGAGAAUACACCAGAGGUUCUAUAAUUGUACUGCUAGACUUAAUUUCUCACCCUUUCCCCCUUAGUCUUUGAAUAAAACAAUUUCUAUACAUUUAUUGAAAACUCUAAGUCUGAAUUAUUUGAUAACAUUAAUGUUGAUUUCAGAUACAGAUAGAUAUAUUUCUUCAGCCAAGUCAUGAUAUUUUGGUGUGGAAAACAAUACUCCUAAUUCUCUGUUUGUCCUUUCAUCCUAUGGUGAAAACUUCAAGCACACUAUAAUUUAUUCAUGCCUUACCGUAGUCCUUCAUGCCUUUAUACUCUUAUUAAAUGUCUUUUAAAUUAAUUUUUAUUACAUGGUAAUACAUGCACAUAGAAAAAAUUAAGAAUUCCAAAGGUUAUGAAAUGAAAUAUAAGGUUUUGUGUCCUUC
rnacentral:lncRNA from 1 species